GUGUCAUUUCUUUUGUUGCUCUCAGGUGCAAUAUCUUUAUUCUUUCUUGUACUACAUGUCUCCUUUGACUGUUCACAGAAUUUAGUAAAGAGGAGUUUAGAACAACAAAAAUAGAUCCAAUAUACCAAUUUUCGAAGCCAAUCACGUCACAUAUGAAUAAAGAUCAUGCCGAGGAUACCAAGCUGAUUGUGCAGCACUCAACAUCAGUUCCGGUGGACUUUGCCUACAUGUUGGAUGCCGAUAGUCUUGAUUUUAACGUCAAGGCGAGGCUGCUAUUACCAUCUCCACUGUUAUCGAUUCGUCUGUUGUAACUUUUUCUAUAAUUAUUUUAUCCCUUCUUAUAUUUAUGUAGUGGAGAAAUCUGCACUUGGGACAUUCUGUGAGAUUGUUUGUUUCAAAAUAUGUAAAUUGUUAGCAACCUUUUCUUAAAGGAAAUUGACAGUUAUGUCAAGAAAUGCCUAUU